UGGCGGGGAGUGGCGCACUGCUCAGUAACACGUAGCUAACCUAACCUCAAGACGGAAAUAACCCCGGGAAACUGGGGUCAAUGUCCGAUAGAUGUGAAUUCCUGGAAUGGUAUCACAUCCAAACGUCAACACACCAUGUUGUGCGAACGCUUGAGGAUGGGGCUGCGGCCGAUCAGGCUGUUGGUGGGGUAAUGGCCCACCAAACCUUUGACCGGUAUGGGCCAUGAGAGUGGUAGCCCAGAGAUGGACACUGAGACAAGGGUCCAGGCCCUACGGGGCGCAGCCGGUACGAAACCUCCACAAUGCACGCAAGUGCGAUGGGGUUAUCUCGAGUGCUAUCUGAAAAAGGUAGCUUUUCCAUGGUCUAAAUAGCCGUGGGAAUAAGGGGGGGGCAAGACUGGUGUCAGCCGCCGCGGUAACACCAGCCCCCCGAGUGGUAGGGAUGUUUAUUUGGCCUAAAGCGUCCGUAGCCGGCUAAGUAAAUUUCUCGUUAAAUCCAACGUCCUAAGCGUUGGGCUGCGAGAAAGACUGCUUAGCUAGAGGGUGGGAGAGGUCAGCGGUAUUCCUGGGGUAGGGGCGAAAUCCAUUGAACCCAGGAGGACCACCAGUGGCGAAGGCUGCUGACUAGAACACGCCUGACGGUGAGGGACGAAAGCUGGGGUAGCGAAUCGGAUUAGAUACCCGAGUAGUCCCAGCCGUAAACGAUGCAGACUAGGUGUUGGGUUGGCCACGCGCCGACUCAGUGCCACAGGGAAGCCAUUAAGUCUGCCGCCUGGGAAGUACGGCCGCAAGGCUGAAACUUAAAGGAAUUGGCGGGGGAGCACCACCAGGCGUGAAGCCUGCGGUUUAAUUGGAGUCAACGCCGGGAACCUUACCGGGAGCGACAGCAGAGUGAAGGCCAGGCUAAAGGUCUUGCCAGACGAGCUGAGAGGAGGUGCAUGGCCGUCGCCAGUUCGUGCCGUGAGGUGUCCUCUUAAGUGAGGUAACGAACGAGACCCGCGCCGCAUGUUGCUAACAAGUCCUAAAGGGAUGUUGAGCACUCUUGCGGGACCGCAGCCGACAAGGCUGAGGAAGGUGCGGGCAACGGCAGGUCAGUAUGCCCCGAAUCUCCCGGGCCACACGCGGGCUGCAAUGGUAGAGACAGAGGGCUGCAACCCCGAAAGGGGAAGCCAAUCCCUAAACUCUACCUCAGUUGGGAUUGAG
rnacentral:rRNA from 1 species